GGGGAGAAAACCCAUAGUUUCAGAAGCCAUAUAGUAUCCUAUUCAGGUAGUUACUGCAAUUUCUCUUCAUGCAUUUCGAGAUAUAUACCAUUUAUUUAUUAAUUUCCUUUAUUUUCCAUAUAUCCAUACAGGUAACAAACCUAGGAUGUGGAAAUGGUCCCUUUGAAAAUAGAUAUAUCAAGAUACAUAUACAAAAUUAGACCUUAUCGCCUUCCUCAGAUAUUUUUUCCUGUGUAGUAACCUGUAAGUUGAACAUUCACAGAACAGUUGAGUGCCACAAGCUUUCUUGUUUCAUGUAGGUCUUGAUGAAGUCCUUUGGAGGUUUCACUGACACCAGUACUUAUUCAUAUCCUUCAUGUUUAUGACAGCUCAACUUUUAUAGUGACAGGCUAUGAACUGGAUAGCCAAGGAAUCAGAUUUUGAUGCUUGGCAGAGACAAGAGGCUUUACUCCACAGGGUCAAGACCGCCUCUGAGGCCCAAGCAGCCACCUAUAUGAUCGACACCGGAGAGAGUGGUUCUUUACCUGAGGAUGAAGACACUGGGUUGUCAAACUGACCAGUCUCCUCUGCCUAGUACUGAAAUUCAGAAUUCAUAGAGCUAUACCUCCACUCCCCCAUAUGUCAGUGCCAUGACGCUUAGGUGGCAGCAGUAUGUUCCUCCAGGAAGUUGCUAAAGAUCCACCAGACUGCAGAACCUAAAAUCCCAGGCUACAGUAAUCUCAUAGUCAACACCAUGAGGACCUCAAGUCUUCGGCUGGUAAUGGUGAACCCAAGACUCAUCACCUGUGACAGUUCAGGCUAGCAUAUCAUGUCCUUCAUCAUGGUAGCGAUUGAGAUGCUGUAUUGCCAGACCAGUUCUUUGCAUUUUGUGUUGAGGGGUCAGCAUG